rnacentral:lncRNA from 1 species
CUAGGGGGUAUGUGUAGAUGUACUCACAGCUACCUUGCCCUUCCUACGUCACACAACCCUAGUCUAUGACAAGUGUUCUCUGUCAUCACCUCCCCACCCCCCACACACUCCCCCCAGUAAUCCAAAACUUGAAACACCAAUGAUGAUAGAAGAAGCUCUCCUGUAAUAACUGAUAUUUAAAUCCAAUACAGAGGUGCUACAUAGAAGGCAGCAUCACUGACUUUGAUGGCCAAGAACUCCAUAAGACUCCAUGAAAGACAGCUAACCCAUACCUAACAAGUUUUCUGUAUAAAGAUAUUCUGUACAGCACUAAUUCCUAGGUCUGAAUAAUGUCUUCAGAAAUGUAACAAUAUGGAGCCAUUACGCUAUGAUAACAGAAUGGAUCAGAUAAUAUCACAAGACUACUUAACGCUGUACAUUUUUGAAAAAUGUUCCUAUCUCUAAGCAACAAAGAGGCCUUUAUUUUUCUCUGGGCUUCAGGUGCACCAGGCAGGAGACUGAGCUGCCAAAAUAGCCAACAGAGCCAAGGAAGACCCUGCAAUGAGUGACCAGGAGGACUAACAUGCCUUCUUGUGCACACACACACACAAAGGCUGG